GUGCUUGCUUUGUAGCACAUAUACUAAAUAAGAACAAUACAGAGAAGAUGAGAAUGGCCCCUGUGCAUGGAUGACAUGCGAACAUGUGAAUUGUUCCAUAUUUAA